GGGGAAGGAUCUUUCUCUGGGGAUUGCUCCUCUUGGAGUCUUUUUCUGUGAGCCCAGGAUACAGAUUUUGAGGAAGGAAAGAGGCUCCUGGUAAACCAGCCUAAAUGUUUCUGGUGGUGCUCAGCUACCAGCACCCUGUCAGAGACCUCAACAAUUCUGCACCCGACUGGGAAUCACAGCUGCUUCCAGCAGUCAGCACUCCGAAAAAGAAGCAGAAACAGGAAAAACAUCUGAACUGAGGAAGCACACAGUACCAGGAGGAAAAAGCUGAGGAGUAUGGAAUACUGCAGUCCAGGGAGCCUAUGCACUGCAGAGACAGAGAAAAAAAAAAGCCGAGACAGCUACCACAAAGCCCAAAGGAAGCAGAGACCACUGGGGAAUCAGCUUUCUGCAGAAAAGCAGAUCCAUCGGACACAAAAAGAUGGAAAAUGAGAAUCAGCAGAGUGAUUGCUAGAGACAUCAACAGAAGAAGAGUCAUAUAUCUCGCAGUGCACAGCACUGAGUACUAACUAUGGAUCUGGUAAACUGAGAAAGCAGUGAAUCAUUGUAUCUUCAAGGUAAAGCAAUUUUAAGGAUUAAUCCAAGGCAGUUUCUCAUGAAACUUCUUAUGAUGUUGCAAAACUGAAUUGAUCUCGUCAUCUUUAGCUUUUCAGUUACCAAAAUGAACCACAUCCCAUUGCAGGAGAGGCAUGAAAGAAAGCAGCAUAGCAAUAGCAUAAAGGGAUGGCUACACAUAACUAUACUUCCUCGUAAGCCUUUGGAAUCGAUUUCCAGCCACUCUCCAGUCUGUGGGAGUUUGGCCAGGACUUUAAUAAGGCCAAAAUCUGUAAUGGGACUUUCUGCUCACACAACAGUCUCACCAAGGCCUUCAGAGAGCUCCCAGUACUAGUCUCAAACAAAACAAAAAGCAAGCAGCAAAUAGCAGUGGUCUGACAAGGAGACCAAAGUUUUUCCCUCCACAAUAAAGUUCUCUCUGGCACUGGAAUAAAAGCAAAGAAAACAAGUCUUUUUCUAUCUGUGGACCCUUCUAUAAAGAAUCGAACUGAAGAAGAUGUAGCUCUAAGGACUUAAAAGUCAUACUGUUUGAGAAAAUUACAGCAACAGAAGUUGGGCUGCAUCACUAAGUUAUGGCAAGAGAGUUGUGAGCAGGAAACUGUAGA